GGCCUGUGCACAGUGGCUACCUUCAGAGGAAGGAAACUUUCUGCACUUUUGUUACCUUACACCCUCCCUUCUGGCUGGCAGGAGACCAGAUGGACACUGGGAGGGAAGCCACACUCUGAGGAAGUCAGACCAACAGAAUGGAAGGAAGCUGAGACCCUGAAAACUGCACAGAGAAGAAUCACUCUACUGGCUUCGACUUUCAUGUGAAAGGAAUGAACCUCCAUAUUAGUUAAGCCACUGAGACUCAGGGUCCUUGUGAUAUUCACUGAGGCUGUAACCUAAUUGGUAGAAGGAACAGGAAGGGGAAGGGAGACAGAGUUGGAGAGGCAGGCAGAGGUCAGAUCACAUCGGGCCUGUAGGCCAAUGCAGGAAGAAACAGGCAACACAGGACUCAAAGACCGCAUAUGCUCCCAGGCAAAGGGAGUUUGCUGUGGGUACCACUCCCUGUCUGCUGGAGAAAAUGAAUUUUACCCACAUCCCUUAGGACUUUGCAAGAUGCACAUCACAGUCACAGGCCUGGUCUCCUCUCAAGACAGUCAGUGGUCGGGGAUCAGAGGCAGCACUCAUCACAGCAGAGAGGCAGGACCAGCUGGGAGAGGCCCUUCUGUAACACCUACUGCAUCACCAGGCUGUACAAACAGACUCAGCUGCCAGAACGCACAGAGUAUCAUUCCACACUGAAACCUCACGGGAAAUGGCCUGGUCUCCUCUCAAGACAGUCAGUGGUCGGGGAUCAGAGGCAGCACUCAUCACAGCAGAGAGGCAGGACCAGCUGGGAGAGGCCCUUCUGUAACACCUACUGCAUCACCAGGCUGUGCGAACAGACUCAGCUGCCAGAACGCACAGAGUAUCAUUCCACACUGAAACCUCACGGGAAAUGGUAAGUUCUCAGUUUCUCCAUCAAUACAACUCUCAUAUUAAUCUCUGUCCUCCAUCACUUGUCCACGAAAUGACUGUUUAUAGCUUUGCUUGGG
rnacentral:lncRNA from 13 species